rnacentral:rRNA from 2 species
UCGACGGUAUCUUCGGAGGCGGUGGCAAAAGGGUGAGUAACGCGUGGGAACAUACCUUUCGGUACGGAACAACAGUUGGAAACGACUGCUAAUACCGUAUACGCCCUGAGGGGGAAAGAUUUAUCGCCGAGAGAUUGGCCCGCGUUGGAUUAGCUAGUUGGUGGGGUAAUGGCCUACCAAGGCGACGAUCCAUAGCUGGUCUGAGAGGAUGAUCAGCCACACUGGGACUGAAACACGGCCCAGACUCCUACGGGAGGCAGCAGUGGGGAAUAUUGGACAAUGGGCGCAAGCCUGAUCCAGCCAUGCCGCGUGAGUGAUGAAGGCCUUAGGGUUGUAAAGCUCUUUCGCCGGUGAAGAUAAUGACGGUAACCGGUAAAGAAGCCCCGGCUAACUUCGUGCCAGCAGCCGCGGUAAUACGAAGGGGGCUAGCGUUGUUCGGAAUUACUGGGCGUAAAGCGCACGUAGGCUGACUUUUAAGUCAGGGGUGAAAUCCCGGGGCUCAACCUCGGAACUGCCUUUGAUACUGGAAGUCUUGAGUCCGAGAGAGGUGAGUGGAACUCCGAGUGUAGAGGUGAAAUUCGUAGAUAUUCGGAAGAACACCAGUGGCGAAGGCGGCUCACUGGCUCGGUACUGACGCUGAGGUGCGAAAGCGUGGGGAGCAAACAGGAUUAUAUACCCUGGUAGUCCACGCCGUAAACGAUGGAAGCUAGCUGUCAGGUAGCAUGCUAUUUGGUGGCGCAGCUAACGCAUUAAGCUUCCCGCCUGGGGAGUACGGUCGC